GUCGCUUCUCGAUCUCGUGGCUGAGAUCAAAGUGAAGUAUCUGGGUUUUUUGUUUUUUUUACAGUUUCACAUUUUGUUCACACCUAGAGAAUAUACCAGAUAUUAAAGAAAUUUUUGAAACUGGGAGAUGGAUUUGUGGCUUGCUCCACGCACUGAACCGGGCAUUGCAGUGUUUCCAGGUACAGUGCCGUUUCU
rnacentral:snRNA from 1 species